GUGAUUUUAAUAAUAUUUCAAUAGAUUUCGACAUUCGAAAUAAGAUAUGACUCAUUGUUAUGUAAGUGUACGUGAAUAAACAAUCUUAAUUCUUCGAAAUAAGGUAUGACUCAUCAUCAUGUAUGUGUACGCGAGUAAACAAUCUAGGUCACGUUGUUUAUAGACCGGUCGGAUCCUGUUGGAUUUAUUACGUAUGAGUAAUUAGAUACCAGUAAACAUUCCUUUGUGUUAUAUCGGAGAACGCGUAGAAGCUUCAUUUCAGUUUAAACAUUUGUUGUGUUAAGACGUAUAUCUGUAAUUUGGUGUCUUCAAAUAUAAAAGCCGUGGAAGCGUUAAAAGAGUAUUUUCUCGACGAACGACGGUACUGUUAUGUGUAAUCUUUUGACGGACUCGACCAUCAAGAGAAUGAAAAUUGAAGAGGUUCUUGCAAACUAAAGAAUGGAACGAGAUGGAGUAUAUGCGAGAACAAAUUUUGGAACGAACAAUCUGGAGCAGAAAGAAAAGCGGAAAUGUAAAAAUUAUCGAAAUAUCUCGGAAAUGAAGUUCGUGCGAGCUUUCUUUUAAAUAUUUUCAUUCAUUCAUUUUAAGUAGUUCUCACAUUUUACAGAAAUAUUCUCUAUUGGAAUCAUUGUAUCGAAAUUAUAUGAAAUAUUGUAAUCCAUUUUCGAUCUCCCUCUAUCGCUUUCUUUUUUUUUUCUUCUGUUAUGGUCACCUUUGUUGAGAAGAGCUGAACAGAAUUGGGUUCGAAGUAGGACGUUAAUAAAACCAGAGCUUUAAUUGCUGAAUUCCCCAUUGAUUAAUGGCUCUUCGAGACAGUCGGGGAAAGAGAUGGAUGGUACUUCGAACGACUCGACGAUUUUAAAGAGGAACAUACUAGUUCUCGUUUCUCCCCGACGUUUCAACUUAUUAACUUAUUCUCUGUUUUAAUAAAUUAUUAUUUUCAAUAAACAUUUAUAUAAACAUAUGUACACAUAUAAUAUAUACAUAAAUGUAACAUACACAUACACAUAUACACACAUACACACAUAUACAUAUAUAUAUGUGUGUAUAUGUUGUUUUAACGAACAAAGAUAACAUUAUCGAACAAACAAUAGGGGCAACGAGCAAACGGUGUUCGUGAUACACCCUUUCCGGCAGCUGCAUCUGUUUAUAAUGACGCGAAAACGUGGUAACGAGACACGUAUUAAAAGCGAACGAUACGAAAUGAAGAGAGAACAGGAGAAAAACGUGAAAGAGGAUGAGUAUAAAGAGAGAGAGAGAGAGAGAGAGAGAGAGAGGAGAAAUCGCGGAUAAUAAUUUAGAUAGCGGCGUUGGAGACGAUCCCAUUUUCUGCAACAGACAUAACGGCUUUGCUUUCCCAGGCGGAACAAUCGCGUCGUCCUCCCCUUUGCUUUCUUGGCGAGAGCCUGAUACCGCUAGGAGAGUCACAUAACUGUCACAAGGGUGGCGUGAUUCACGUGAAAGAUGGCACUCGACCCGAUACAUUUACGGUCCUACUCGGCGCCAUAAUUUUAUUGUCGCCGGUUAGUCUUUACCAAGCAUAGAACACGCCUCUUCUGGAACGACAUUACUGACGAAUAUCUACUGACUUUUCCUAAUCAACUCCUAAAUCUUCCUAUGAAAGGGGCAUCACCGGUGAUAGAGGCAAGAAGCGGUUCGUCGACAGCGAUUUCCAUGUCAGCGGAUUUUCGAUAUACAUCGGAAAUGAAAGCUAUGCAGCGUAGAUGCAGCCGGCCGUUUUGAAACAUGUCGUUGGUGAUUUUAAAUUCUAUAUGCGACUUGGUCUUUACGGUGUCGUCCUCUUGUGAGAUCGAAUGGGGUUGAAUCCAAAAGUGUGAGCUGUUGUUUGUAAUCUGUGAAUAUAAUACAAACGAAUUUAAAAGAAACAAAUAAUUGAAUUACAUACUUUUCUGUAUUUAAACUUAUCAAUUCGAUGUAUCGUAUAUAUCAUAUUCUUUAAUCAAGAACAAAUGUAACAAGAGCGAGGAGCAUUGGGAAUAAAAAAGUCUCCGUUUCGUGCACUUUUAUUAUGAAACAUCGUCGCGAGAUCGACUCCCAUUUUCUUCGGGAAGUAAGAAAGAAAGGGCAAAGGAAUAGUAGAGAAAAUGGUAGGCGAGUAUCUCUCGGCGUUAUUACUUCGGGGAACAAACGAGACUAUGCAUCAAGUCCGUGGACUCGCGAUGACGCGAGACCAGAGGACGCAUCCAUAAAGCAUAAAGCAUAAAGCUCGUGCCAUCGUGUUGCCCAUCUCCUUUCGUAACAACCAUCUCUACCCUUUCACAUCUCUCUUUCUCUCUUCUACUCGUCCUCUUUUUCGUUCACUUCGCGCUUACGUUGCGUAUUUCAGCGCGUAGGCAGGAACAUAGAGGAAUGGAAGGCUUCUCUAUAAAGCGUCAUCUCGUCGCGUUACGAUGCCAGACAGAGAGAAAAAGAGAAAGAGAGAGAGAGAGAGAAAUCGUGUUCCGCCAUUUGGCACACUCGAAAGUUGGUUAAGUUAAAUCGGAGCUAUGCUAGGUAUUAGAAAAGGAAAAGAGAUCUAGUAGAUGUACUAUAAAAUGCAGACAGAGAAUUUCCUUCUUCUUCUCAAGAUGACUCACGAUGAAAUACUAUCGAAACGUUUCAGAAAGAAAAGGCGGUAUCAGUGAACGGAAAUAUCGAAUCUCUACUACUAUUGCUAUAUACUUCUUAUGUCAAUCCAUAAUGCAUCAAUAUCGACAUGUCGUUAGUUCAGUUAAGAAUUGUUGAGAGACAUAAUAUCCGAGAGAUAUAUCGGUUCUUUCAUUUUAUUUCAUUUUAUUUUUCAUUUUAGUUUCAUACACGGAAUGCUUUCAAUCAUAUCAAAUUUUUGACAAACUCCAAGUUAUCCCUCGAUUCUUUUCCUCAAUUUUGAUUUCUCUUGAAGUAUAUUUACAAAAAUUCUCGGUUCUGGAAGGUAAAAGAAAAAGAGUGGGAGAGAGAAAGAGAGAAACCAACGGACAGAGAUCACAUUUUCAGGGAAAGUAAUAAAGAGUGAAGAUGUCGGAUGAGAGUUUAGAAGUCGAAGAAAGAUAGAGACGGAGAGGAAACUCUCUCUCUCUCUCUUUCUUUCUCCUUUUUUCUCGACUUUAUUGCUUCGAGUAAGGUACGAAACCUUGUAUCCUGUACGACGAUGACGUCGAAAUACUACUAGCUGCGUUCAUAAAAUGCAAGGAACGAAACUGCUAUUGCCGCCAUUUCUGCCACUGAUGCUGUCUACCCUUCUGCAUAAUCCAUCUCUCUUUUUCUUUCUUUCUCCCUUCCUCUCUUUCUCCUUUUUUUCAUCCUUUUUUCAUCGUUCGCAAUCACGUACGGCUAGAGAAUACGGCAAGAGAAUAAGAGCAAGAGAGAAAAACAGAGAGAAAGGGAUACACGCACGUUGACUUUUAUCUAUAUGACUGUGUGUGCACGUCUUCAUUCACUCUCCGACACAUAUUUAUCUUCCUUCAAUGUGUUCUCAGUGUUUCCCUGGUAAUCCUUCAUUCUCAUAAUGUGUUCGUAAGCCGAGUUUUAGAUAGCUACAUACAGUCCUGCUGAUUCAUGUAACUCUUAAAGUUCAUUUAAUUUAUCGGCGCUUGUUUAUUUUCAUUCGAUAGAUAUUCUUGUUUAUUUAUUUUUGUUUAUUACUCUUGUAUAUGUGUAUAUAUAUGUAUGUAUAUAUACGUAAUGUGUAUGUAUAUAUAUAUAUAUAUAUGUAUAUAUUCAAAAAGGAAACAUCAUCGUCUCUUGUUUUCCAUCGAAAUAUGGAUAGCAUAAAUGUUUGCAAUUUACAAAUACCCGGAUAUAUAUUUACUUAAAGUAUUUAUUAGCAAAUAUUUGUAGGAUUCAUGAAAAAAGUUGAACCAGCGUUUCCAAAUCUCAAAAGCCUGGUCAAAAUCUCAAAAAUGAAAUAUUUAAAUUUAGAGUUUUGAAACGUUGUUCAAAAGCGCAAGUGACGUUCAUUCGAGCACGUAUAUCUGCGUGAGAAUAAGGAAACAAAGCUUGCUUCGUUAACAAUUAACUCGUUAAUAAUAUUGUUGGAAGUGCAUCAAAUUUUAUUCUGGAAAAUGGAAAAUACUUUUGAAAGUAAAUACAAUUUAUAUAAUGCUUAGGAAAAAGUCAUAAUUAUAAAGCGUAAUAUAAUAAUUUAGUAACGCUUUUGCGUAAAAAUUCAUAUAAAGAAUUCUGUGUACAUUACGAAGAAUAAUAAAAAAUUUAUGCCAGUUGCAAACCGCUACAAAAGAGAAGACUCAGGCUUUUAGCUAAAUACUAUAUACAAUUUAAAAAAAUCAAUAAAAAUUGACUCUAGAAAGAUAUUGAAUUCUAACGAAAGUUUGUAUAGAUAUUAUUAACACGAUGUUUAGAAUGCGAUAAUUAGAUGUAAUUAAAAAAAAAUAUUAAAUUUAAUUCAAACUUUGUAUAUUAAGAUUUUUUGGGUUGUAGAUUACGAUAUUUUUUAAAUAUAUUAUAUAUCAUGAUCAUAAUCAGCGAUAUCGAAAA